AGCGUAUUGAACCAUCCAUCGACCCUCUGUGCUGAAGCUGCUCAGUGCAGAAUGGCUUCAGGGAGUCUUUUCCUGCAUCCCAGGAGAGCACCGUGCAGAGUGGAGCAAAUCCCUCCGGGAUUUAACACAGUGGAUGAUUGAUUGUACCCGCCAGCUGGCUAAUAUCAUAAUUAACAAAGUUGCUACCAUGUCUGAGAAGUUUAAUCGAAAAAAUUGCCAGCAGUAUGAUGCCAUUGUCACAGAGAUCACAAGCCCUGCAGUGUCGACUUUUGUACUAGUGGAGCUGCAGGACUAUGUAGAUGUGCUGAGAAGUCGUUCACGGGUAUAACUAAAGUGAGAUGUGAUUGCAGACGGCGCGUGAUUGGGCUCUGGUAGGACUGGUCAGUGGCAACCUGACUUCACUCUGCUCGUCACCGGUGGAACAGCCAUGGCACAGGAAUGCCGAACUUGAGAGCAGCUGUGGGAAACUAAUCUUUACAUGCAGGAAUGUCAGCGGAAAUGCAUGGACAUACAUCAGUGAGGUUUAGCUGGUGGAUCACAUUGUGAAAUCUGCAGCCAUGAAAGGCCUUCCAUUUAUUGCAUCCUUCAAAACGAAAUAUUAGCAUGGGAGGCUAAGCUGGGAAUUAUGGAGUAGUGGCUUCAAGUUCCAGUUCACAGGAGACUCCGUGACAGUACAAGGAGAGCUGUCAAUAAGAAAUGGAGGCUAAUAACGAAGGAGUCAGUGAAGGAGACCAAUGCCAUGAGGGUUAUCUCGCAGCCCCAGAUGCUGGAUAAGUUGAAGGAGGCAGACUCGCUUUUGGAUGACAUUCAGGAAGGCCUUGAAUGAUUAUUUGGCGAAGAAAAGACUAUUCUUUCCAAGGUUUUUCUCUUGAUGCAACAAUGAUCACUCAGGAAUCCUUUUUGACACAAAGGAUCCACUCCACGUCCAGCCACACCUAAAGAAAUGCUUUGAAGGAAUUGCCAAGCUCACUUUUAAUCAUGAGAAAGAAAUUACCCACAUGGAGUCAGCAGAAAAUGAAAAAGUAGAGCUCGUGCUGCGAAUAAUUCUAGCAAGUGCCAAGGGGCUAGUUGAGAAAUGGCUUCAUGAGGUGAAUAUCUUUAGCUCUUACCUAGGGUUUAGUUACUGUAUAAUCAUUUUCUCUUUUAGGAGCAAUGAAUAUCAUAAGCAUAUUUCCUGACUAAAUGGCUCUCUGAAUACUUGUCAAGAUGUUGACAGAUCUCAGCCUUAUUGUUGUUAUUUAUUGCAACUAAUUUAGCAUCUGCAAACAUGCAAAAAUUAAUUUUAAUAAAAAUCUCUCGGAGUCGGGCUGUUGGCAGAAGUGGGUCUGUGUCUGAAAGCAUAUAUGUGAAUAUAUGUUUGCGUCUACAUGUAUGUGUUUUUGUGCUUUCAUGGUGUGUAAUGUCUGCAGUUUAGGAAGAUAACAUUUAAAAUAUAAUCGGAGAAACAUAAGAUUUUGAGUGCUUCCCACCCUGCAGCAAGUGUGUUCCAUUGUGUCGAAGGGGUU